rnacentral:tRNA from 1 species
CAAAAAAUAGUUUAAUAAAAAUAAUAAUUUUGGGAAUUAUUGAUAUUUUGAGGAAAAAUUUUUUUGA